UGAUAUUCUAAGAUAUUUGAACAACUGAUGCCUCCUUCCAGAUAUCAGGAAACACUAUUAUUCUUUAAUGAUAAAUUAAAAACUUCAGAUAAGGGAACUGCUAAUUGUCUUGCAUUCAUUUUCCAAAAAAUAUUGCCAAUACCAUCUGGGCCUGUUGCUUUAGUGAUAUCAAAAGAGGAGAGAAUAUCAUGGAUUUCUUGGGGACUAAGUGUUAAGUCACAUAAUGGGUUAUCUACCUCUGAACGAAUUACAGGAUAUCCCUAUUAGGAGCAGCUACUCUUGCCUGAUCUGCAAAGAAAUCAUUCAUAAUGUUUGCUGUUUCACUACUAUCAUCAUAUAGUUUAUCGUUAUGGAUUAUCGAAGGAAAAGUAUUAAUAUUGGUGGUGUGUUUACUUUGUAUAUAAUUCUUAACUAAACGCCACCACGUUUUUGUACCGUGUUCAUUGUCUCUUUCUUCAUCAAAUUAUUCAUGUACAUCUUCUUUGCAUUUCUUACCGCGGAUAUCACUUUAUUUCUACUCAAUCUAAAAAGCGCGGGUCAGAUGAUGAGUUACGCCUUUUUGUGAUUUUAUGAUGGCGAUUGCGUUUACGAACCAAUUUACGUACCUCUCUAUUCAUCCAGGGGGCGUCCUGGGGUGUUAUCGUAAUGACUUUAUUUGGAAUAUAACUAUCGCAUAAUUCAAGAAUUGUACCAGUCAAGUCGCUUGGGAUACGAUUAAUAUUUUCAGAGGCACAGAUAGCAUGCCAAUCAAGAGUUUAUAAGGCAUUUGUAAUACCGUCAAAAUCAACUAGAGUAUAAUUAUAUAUUUUUAUCUUGCAAUUGAUCGAUUUUGCAAUCGACUCAUUGAUGGUGACAUAUACAGGGCAAUGAUCGCUACAUACAUGAUCUAAAACAC